rnacentral:lncRNA from 1 species
UUCAGAUCAAGAAAAGCUAGAUAUAGAGGAUAAUUCCUCUUCCAGUCCUUCAUUUCUUAUAAAAAAAGUAUUCUAUCUAACUCUGGUCUAUCUUAGAUUGGUUAGUUCGAUUGGGCUUAGAAGCCCUAGCAUGAUACCACUACACCAUACUUAUCUUUCUGCUAUCAGAGGAACGAUGCUCUGUUAAAGAUAAAUCCUCAAGUAUACCAAAGG